AUUGAACGCUGGCGGCAUGCCUUACACAUGCAAGUCGAACGGUAACGGGCCUUCGGGUGCCGACGAGUGGCGAACGGGUGAGUAAUACAUCGGAACGUGCCCGAUCGUGGGGGAUAACGAGGCGAAAGCUUUGCUAAUACCGCAUACGAUCUACGGAUGAAAGCAGGGGACCGCAAGGCCUUGCGCGGACGGAGCGGCCGAUGGCAGAUUAGGUAGUUGGUGGGAUAAAAGCUUACCAAGCCGACGAUCUGUAGCUGGUCUGAGAGGAUGAUCAGCCACACUGGGACUGAGACACGGCCCAGACUCCUACGGUAGGCAGCAGUGGGGAAUUUUGGACAAUGGGCGCAAGCCUGAUCCAGCCAUGCCGCGUGCAGGAUGAAGGCCUUCGGGUUGUAAACUGCUUUUGUACGGAACGAAAAGCCUUCUUUUAAUACAGGAGGGUCAUGACGGUACCGUAAGAAUAAGCACCGGCUAACUACGUG
rnacentral:rRNA from 1 species